CCGACCUUAGCUCAGUUGGUAGAGCGGAAGACUGUAGUUGUUUGCAACAGAAAAUCUUUAGGUCGCUGGUUCGAUUCCGGCAGGUCGGA
rnacentral:tRNA from 2 species